AGAAGAAUCACUUUGCCCAACUUUAGAAUUUCCAUCAACAGCUUCAGCCAUCAAGAGAGUGUGCUGGAUUCCCAGAGACCACACACAGUUGUCUCCUGGUGCUUGCCAGCCCAAGCGGAGAAUGUCACUGCCUGUUUUAAUGUCUCCGUGGGUUUCUAUAACACAACUGCAGAAGUUUCUGGAACCAAAGUCUAUUGCCAGCCUGGAACCAGAAAUGAUGCUAACUAUGUCUAGAGAAGAUCUUGAGACCUCACCUAACCCAAUCCAGAAGCUCCUUCACACACAUGACUCGAGCCUUGUCUCCAAAGUGAGU